UCGGGAAUCUUGCACAAUGGGCGAAAGCCUGAUGCAGCAACGCCGUGUGAGCGAGGAAGGUCUUCGGAUCGUAAAGCUCUGUUGUUGGGGACGAAGGGCGAAGGGUUAAUAGCCCCUAGCCUGACGGUACCCUUCGAGGAAGCCCCGGCUAACUACGUGCCAGCAGCCGCGGUAAUACGUAGGGGGCGAGCGUUGUCCGGAAUUAUUGGGCGUAAAGCGUCCGCAGGUGGCUCAUCAAGUCUGCUGUCAAAGAGCGAAGCUUAACUUCGCAAAGGCAGUGGAAACUGGCGAGCUAGAGUAUGGUAGGGGUAGAGGGAAUUCCCAGUGUAGCGGUGAAAUGCGUAGAGAUUGGGAAGAACAUCGGUGGCGAAAGCGCUCUACUGGGCCAUAACUGACACUCAGGGACGAAAGCUAAGGUAGCGAAUGGGAUUAGAUACCCCCGUAGUCC
rnacentral:rRNA from 1 species